GUCGACCUUUCCAAAAUGUUGGCUUGCGGCAGCUUCUUGGAUUAUAGAAGUUUAACAGGUCCCUUGGUCUCUCCUCUGCUUGGUGAGGGGUCCUCGUGCUUCUUGAGAGAUGGCAGCUCAUGUGGGCGUCCGAGUCAGCCUGCUGUUGGCUGCAUGAUUUGUUUGGGGAAGUUAUCUUUUGUCCCUGAGCUCCUCCACCUGCUGACCCCCUGCCUGGGAAAGAACCAGGUGUGCCGCAGGACUCUCAACCAUGCAGAGGAGAUGGGCACUGAAGGAAGAACCAAAAUGUGGAAACUCCUAUCCUCAGAUUCCACCUGGUUGCAAGAAGGGCCAAAGUCUUUGUGGCCAAGCAGGAGUCAAGACAGAGCCCCAAUCCAUGUGAACAUUGCAGAUACCAGGAUGCCAUUACUUGGUCAGACCCCACCAAAACAGGACAGGAAAGGUGUGAAGGAGAGGAGGCUUACACAUCUGAGGUUGACACCUAUGUGCUGA
rnacentral:lncRNA from 13 species